rnacentral:rRNA from 1 species
UACGUAGGGGGCGAGCGUUGUCCGGAUUUAUUGGGCGUAAAGGGCGUGUAGGCGGUUGCUCACGUCAGGAGUGAAACUCCGCAGCUCAACUGCGGACCUGCUUCUGAUACGGGGCGACUUGAGUGCUCUAGAGGGCAGUGGAAUUCCCGGUGUAGCAGUGAAAUGCGUAGAGAUCGGGAGGAACACCAGUGGCGAAGGCGACUGUCUGGGGAGCAACUGACGCUGAGGCGCGAAAGCUGGGGGAGCAAACGGG